CACGCUCCGACGUUAACAUAAGACGUUCUCGUCUCAUAGUACAUUUAAUUGAAUUUUGAACAGAACAGCGGCGCCGCCAUCGGAAAAGGAUGGCGGCUCAUCCCGCUUCGGAUGGAGUACACUUAACCGCAACAGAUGGCCGCACACUACAUCCACGUUAUACGUACCUCCUACAUUGUCUACGAUAGACGAUGGUUCCGAGAUGAAGCAAGUUAGACCCGUUCGUUUACCUUUAAUCGGACACGCGUAUAAUUUUCCUUACUUAAACUAAAUAGUACUUGCAGUAAUUUUUAAUAAAUAAUAGUUUAAAAAAAAACUAACAAAAUACGCUUUUAUAGAAAAUCAGGAAUCAAGGAAAAAAUCAAGAAAGUGCUUUUCAGGAUAUUUUCAAAAUAUUCUACUUAUAUCUGUUCAUAAAAUAUAGCUACUGAUAUCAUGCACCCGACGCAUUUUUUUUAUAACAACUAUUAUUUAUUUUUAAUUUUUUAGUUGAAUUUCAAUUUUUAAAAUUUUUUUUUCAAUAUAUUUUUUUUAAUAUCUGUUAAUAACUGUCUUAGUGAAUUCUCAUCGGUCCUUAAUAAGUAUACCAAAUUUCAAGUUAAUCCGACGUUUUGAAGGGGGUCAAAAUCAUGUUUAAAGAUUCCUUUACAAACAUACAUACGUUUGAAGCUAAUAAAAGCGUAUUAAAAACA